GUAGGUGGCAAGCGUUGUCCGGAAUUAUUGGGCGUAAAGCGCGCGCAGGCGGUUCUUUAAGUCUGAUGUGAAAGCCCACGGCUCAACCGUGGAGGGUCAUUGGAAACUGGAGAACUUGAGUACAGAAGAGGAAAGCGGAAUUCCACGUGUAGCGGUGAAAUGCGUAGAGAUGUGGAGGAACACCAGUGGCGAAGGCGGCUUUCUGGUCUGUAACUGACGCUGAGGCGCGAAAGCGUGGGGAGCAAACAGGAUUAGAUACCCUGGUAGUCCCACGCCGUAAACGAUGAGUGCUAAGUGUUAGGGGGUUUCCGCCCCUUAGUGCUGCAGCUAACGCAUUAAGCACUCCGCCUGGGGAGUACGGCCGCAAGGCUG
rnacentral:rRNA from 1 species